rnacentral:rRNA from 1 species
AUGGACCCGACGAGGUCAGCAUACAACUCCCAAUUCCCCUCGCAGACAACAUCGGCCAUGAAAAGAUUGGUGUGGAAGAUCUGGGUUCAUGGGAAGAUCAAAUUCUAUCUCUGGCUACUCCACCACAACCGGCUCUGGUGCAACGACCGACUGCAAUGUAGGGGAUGGGAAAAUCCAUAUUUCUGUCAACUAUGCUGCCGCAACCUCGAGUCUUCUUUCCACCUGCUAUGGAAGUGCAGCAUCUCACGGGAAGUUUGGUCAAGAGCAGCCACUUGGGGGGGUUGUGUGGCACUCUCACCGGCCUCCUGGAGCUCAAGCAAAACAACAACCGAGACUGUCACCACAAUCUUCAACUCUGCGGCGCCAAGGGAAAAAAGAGGAGUCAAGACCAUAGUGGCCAUGAUCGCCUGGCACAUCUGGCUGGAGAGAAACAGAUGCACAUUCAGAGGAAAGACGCCGAAUGCGGUUAGCGUGAUAGAAGCCUGCCGGAGAGAUAUCGAGCAAUGGAGACUCGCCGGAGCCCAUGCCAUAGCGCCCCCUUUCGGGGAAAUAACGUGA